rnacentral:rRNA from 1 species
AACGCGAAGAACCUUACCUGGCCUUGACAUCCGCGGAACUUGGCAGAGAUGCCUUGGUGCCUUCGGGAGCCGCGAGACAGGUGCUGCAUGGCUGUCGUCAGCUCGUGUCGUGAGAUGUUGGGUUAAGUCCCGCAACGAGCGCAACCCUUGUCCCUAGUUGCCAGCACGUAAUGGUGGGAACUCUAGGGAGACCGCCGGUGACAAACCGGAGGAAGGUGGGGAUGACGUCAAGUCCUCAUGGCCCUUACGGCCAGGGCUACACACGUACUACAAUGGUGGGUACAAAGGGUUGCCAAGCCGCGAGGUGGAGCCAAUCCCAGAAAACCCAUCUCAGUCCGGAUCGGAGUCUGCAACUCGACUCCGUGAAGUCGGAAUCGCUAGUAAUCGCGGAUCAGCAAUGCCGCGGUGAAUACGUUCCCGGGCCUUGUACACACCGCACGA